GAGACCUGAUGGUCAAGAAUAAGAGGAUCAAUUAAGAUGAAGAGUAACAAUUGAGCGAACAGAGCAACUGUGAAAUUAGCUAGUUGAAAAACAGUCCUGGAUGUAGUUGGCAUGCAUAACUUUCUGUCAGCAAAGUGUCAACUAUCAAGUAACUGAAAUGACAAGGAAUUCAACUCCAAGUGCACUAUUCCAAUAUAUCAUUCAUCUUUUUCAUCGAUCCAGAGUUGUUUUGGACAAAAGAAGAUAGAACAAAAGGUGGAAAGGGGAUAUGGGCUGCAUGGGCUCAACAACCUUCAACAUCAAGAAAACCAUCGUGCAGGAGCUUCUUCAAAGGUGUUCGCGACGGCUGUGGCAAGUCACGGUUGAGGUGAUCUACCGUCCGUGUGGAUGGGCCCUUGUCACCCAUUGCAUUGCUUCUUGAAAGACGAGAGCGGGUGAAUUACUGUCAAACGGAAUUUCACUGGGCUGUUGCACUUUCAGAAGUUUUAGCUGUAGGUUUAGUUUUGCUGGACAAUCUUUUGUUUUGAGGAUGGUCACUCUGGAGGGUUUUCAACCUUCUGUGUGGCUGUGUUUCUCUUCAGCUGUGUUGUUUUAAUUUCGAAUAUUUAUGUAAGACUCUAUGGUUUCCUUUAAUGAAGCCAGAGGGAGGCCUCUGUUCUUAAAAAAAAAGACUAGGAGGAGCAAGCGCAAGGAGAAGGAGAUAGGGGCAGAGGGGAAAGUCCCACUCUGCCGUAGUUAAUUAAUACUCCCUCCGUUCCAUAAAGAUUGGCGUGACUUUGAACUAGCUCUAGUUCAAAGCUCUAGUUCAAAGCCAUGCCAAUCUUUUUGGAACCGAGGGAGUAGUACUAUUCAAUUACCAAGGUUAAACAGUCAAGACAUUAUACCACACAUAAAUAACAGCAACAAU